CAUCCUGUCCUUUGCCUCAGGCAGGAAAAAAAUAUCCUGGGCCAGCUCUGUCAUCCAGUAAGCUUCAUGUUCAACAGGGCCUCUUUGUUCAAAUUCUAACACUAACACCAUACUGACUAAAAGGAGUGUGUUGUGAGGGCAGGGAGGGAAAUGUGAGAAUCUGUAUUAGAUUCAGUAAUGAACCACUGUUUACCAAUGACCUGAAAUGAAUUUUCAGCUAUUGGUCAUGGGGAGGUCAAGCCUUUGUGGGAGUCACUUCCACUGAAAUCUUGUAGCACUGACUUAAUCAUCAGUCUGUUCCAUAAAUCUGCUAUUCUAGGCUGCAUCAACAGAAGUCCAGAUCAAGGGAAGUAAUAGUACCACUCUAGUCUGCCUUGGUAAGACCAUAGCUAGAGUGCUGUGCCCAGUUCUGGGUGCCACAGUUUAAUAAGGGUGUUGACAAGCUGGAAAGUGUGCACAGAAGGGCAACCAAAUGAUCAAAGGGUCUGGAAACCAAGCCUUAUGAGGAAUGGUUGAGGGAGCUGGGUUUGUUUAGCAUGGAAAAGAGGAAACAGAGGAGAUAUGAUAACCAUCUUCAACCAUCUCAAGGGCUAUCUCAUGGAAGAUGGGCAAGAUUGUUUCCUCCUGCUCUGGAGGGUAGGACACAAACCAGUGGCUUCAAGUUACAAGAAAGGAGAUUCUGGAUAAAACCAGGAAGAACUUUCUGACAGUAAGAGCUGUUCAGCAGAGAACAGUCUCACUUGAGAGAUUGUGGACUCUCCUUCCUUGGAGGUUUUUAAGCAGAGGUUGGGUGGCCAUCUAUCAUGGAUGCUUUAGCGGAGAUUCCUGCAUUGCAGGGGGUUGGACUAGAUGGCCCUUGGAGUCCCUUCCAAUUCUAUGAUUCUAUAACAUGAAGGACCAUAGCUUGGUGGUAGAGCAUCUGCUUUACAUAUGGAAGGUCCCAGGAACAACCCCAGGUAGGGCAGGAAAAUACUUCAAUCUGAAAUCCUGGAGAGCUGCUGCCAGUCAGUGUGGACAAUACUGAGGUAGAUGGACCAAUGACCUGACUCAGCAGAAGGCAGCUUCCUAUGUUUCUAAAUGUAACUGGUAUCUGAGUGCCAAAAUAACAUCAAAUUAUGUCAAAAGCAUGUAAAGGACCUUAGACAUGAAUUAUUAUUCAAAGAAAGCCAGCAGACCCCUCCCAUCUCAUCCUGCUUAUGCUUCCCAAUGCGACAGUGAAAUGUGUGGCUUCAAAGUAGCCUCAAUAGAUUUAGGAGAGUAAAUAAUGCCGUGGCACUAAAGGAUAUGUAAUUAAUUAUGACCACUUAUUUCAUCUGAAAAAAUAGCGAUCAUGCUAAAUGAACCAUGGACGCAAUUUCAACCACAUCACAACUAUUGAGUGUGUUUUUCCAGUGAUGAACAUUAUGCAAGGCUGGAAUUUAGCCUUUGAAGCAGGAAAUAAAUAAGGGGGAAAAUGCAUCUGAAAAGAAUGCUAUUGAAAAGAAUAAAAAACAAAGCACUAUUGUUUUCAAAAUAACAGCUGGUUGUUGAAGCAAGCAGUUAAUGCUUCUUUUGGCUCCAGUGGAGCAAGAACGGGUUUGUAAAAAGUUGGGACCAUCUUUUGUUUUGUUAGGAUUGUACCAAGAAUAAGCGUUGGGUAUAGUUUAAGGCGUUUUAUCUAUAUCCUGCCUCUGAUAUGCAUAUUGAUGGCUGAAGACAAUGAGUUAGAGAAUUGCCACAAUCCUCUGUGGCUGGUGAGGCUGUAAGACAAGGAUUUGUGCAAGGCCACUCAAUGAACUUUGUGGUUCAGCCAAGAUAGAGACAUCAUCAUCAUCAUUAUUACUCUAACUUCCUUUUAGAGCCACAAGCUGUUGUCCAUCUUCUGGUAGCAGAGUCCCUAAUUUGACUAUGCUAUGUGAUAAAAUACUUAUAACUGUUCUGAACCUUCCAAUACUCCACUUUCUUGGAUGGCCGCAGGUUCUAUUACUGGUGGUGUGGGGGAGUUCUCUCUAACCACUUUCUCAACACCUCUAUCAUGUUCCCCCUUACUCUCCAUUCGCCCAAAACUUAAUAAACCCUAUUGAUGAUUUGGUCCCUGGUCUCUGCUUCUGAAAUCCAGCACUUCUUACCCACUCCAAUGAAUGCUUCUCAGUUUAUUCUAAGGAAGUACCCGAGCCGCUUCAGCCAUUAGGCAGACUGAGGCGCCUGCCUCAGGUGGCAGAAUCCCUCAAGGUGGCACUGAAACCAAUUUUUGCCACCACUCCUUCACCAGCAGCAAGAGGUAGCAGGACAAGUGGAGAGCAGCAUUGACGGCAGCAGGUCUGGUGGCGCCAGCGGCAGCAGGAGAGCAGAGCAGGACAGCACUUUCCAUUUUGCCUCAAGAGAUGAAUAGGGGUACAUCACCCCUGAAAAUUGCAAUUUACAUUUGUAAGCUGAAGAAGCUGGAUUCCAAGUGUUUUU